rfam:Oryza sativa Japonica Group DNA, chromosome 1, cultivar: Nipponbare, complete sequence.
AAAAAGACAAACCCUAAAUUUUUUGUGUUCAACGUUCGACCGUCCGCCUUAUUUAAAAAAAUUAUGAAAAAAAUUAAAAAGACAAAUAAAACAUAAAGUAUUAGUUAUGUUUUAUCAUCUAACAAUAAUAAAAAUACUAAUUAUAAAAAAGAUUAUAUAAGACGGAUAGUGAAAUGUUGCAUACGGAAACUCAGGAUUUGUUUUUUU